AACGCACCUUGCACCCUUUGGAAUUCCGAAGGGUAUGCUCGUUUGAGUGUCAUUGUACUCUCACACUCCUCUGAUCCUUUGGAUUCGGGGAGCGGUGGACUUGGGUGUUUGCUGCUUUCCUUGUGGCUCACCUCAAAUGCGUCAGUGCACCUCUUGGUUGGACAUAGUACGGCGUGAUAAGUGUCUUCGCCGGCACCUCGCAAGAGGGUGGCCGAUCGAGAGCUCUGUGCUUUCAAACCGUCUUCGGACACUUUCUGACAACUUGACCUCAAAUCGAGUAGGACUACCCGCUGAACUUAA
rnacentral:misc_RNA from 1 species